rnacentral:rRNA from 1 species
UACGAAGGGGGCUAGUGUUGCUCGGAAUCACUGGGCGUAAAGCGCACGUAGGCGGAUUGCUAAGUCAGGGGUGAAAUCCUGGAGCUCAACUCCAGAACUGCCUUUGAUACUGGCGAUCUCGAGUCCGGGAGAGGUGAGUGGAACUGCGAGUGUAGAGGUGAAAUUCGUAGAUAUUCGCAAGAACACCAGUGGCGAAGGCGGCUCACUGGCCCGGUACUGACGCUGAGGUGCGAAAGCGUGGGGAGCAAACAGG